rnacentral:rRNA from 1 species
GCACGUAGUUAGCCGCAGCUUAUUCAGCGGGUACCAUCAUAAUUUUCCCCGCCAAAAGAGCUUUACACCCCGAAGGGCUUCAUCGCUCACGCGGCGUCGCUGCAUCAGGGUUUCCCCCAUUGUGUAAGAUUCCCCACUGCUGCCUCCCGUAGGAGUCUGGCCCGUGUUUCAGUGCCAGUGUGGCCGUGUGCCCUCUCAGGCCGGCUACCGAUCAAAGCCUUGGUAGGCCAUUACCCUACCAACUAGCUAAUCGGCCGCGGGCCCCUCCUCGAACGGCUUGCGCCUUUCCUCCCCCUGGCGUGAGCCAAAAGGAGCGUAUGCGGUAUUAGCCCAGGUUUCCCCGGGUUAUUCCCCAUUCAAGGGCAGGUUACCCACGUGUUACUCACCCGUGCGCCACUGUACUCAUGGAUUGCUCCACUUUCUCGUGCGACUUGCAUGUGUUAAGCGCGCCGCCAGCGUUGAUU